UUUCUAGGUCAUUUACAAUUUACAAACCAGAUUCCAGUAGCAUUAAAUAUGGCAGAAAACAUUGAAGGAGAAGACCUUUAUCUGAAGAAACAGAUGAAGUCCGAUGGGCAUGGCCAGCAUUUUCCUACGAAGAAAACAAAUCAGGUUGCAAUGUAAUGUGCAGAGGUCCUCUUUGUCCCUGCAGCGUGUGGAGGUGGUUGGCCUCGGCCAGGUUAAGUUGUCGAUGCCGGUGAACCUCUGUAUAUGCACUCCGUUCCUAGAGUUGGUGUUCCUCAUCCCCUUAUCUGAAAAUUCAUUUAGAAUAAGGCCACUUGCGCAUCCAGUGAAGGGUUGUGAUGCCGCGGUCUGUGCAACAUUGUCAUUGUCGCCAGAGGCAUACAAGAGAAGUCCAGUUCCAAGCCGGCAUCAUGGCCUCUACUUCCAAUAGAUCCUUUUCAGGCCUAGAUUCAUUGACGCUGGAGGCUCGGUGUCACAUCUGGUGGCCAAGUAGGAAAUCAAAGCUACACAUACUGAUAAUGGAUAUGAAUGGAGAGUAUCCUCGCCAACCAGUUGUCACAGUACUCCCAGGGACGUGUUUCAAAAGGAUGGUGUGUACUGAAUAUGAGUUCAACACACUAAGGUGUACUUAUCAGUUCGGUAAGGAACUUCAUGAAUCAUGGAUGUUCUCUAUAUAGGCUUUGUUGAUGUUGCUUUUAUAUAAAUUUGAUGCUUAAUGUAUGUCUUUCAAUAUUCUUUUACCCAUGCGUGUUUGUGUAUCUGUACCGAAAGUUGUUGUGUGGGUACCUCCAAAGGAUUUCAUAUUGUGCUUUGAAUUUUUGAUGUUUUGGUUCAGUAGGGAUAAAAAAUAAAUAUGAUUGGGUGUUUGAUAAUUUAACUUAAAACAGUUAUGUGGUGGUUCUAUUGUGCUUGCAGUUCCUCGUUUGCUUUUAUUUUCCUGUUUGCUGCAACUUGCUAUAUGAAAAGUUUGUUGCUACUAAAGAAAUAUAAAUGAAAGGCAGUUUAGUGCUAUUUCUAUACGGAAAGUUUGUUAUGACUGAUUUGUUUCAGUGGUUUGCUAAAUAGCUUGUUUGGUUAUUCACAAAACAGAGACAUAUGAACAUUUUCCCAUAAUGUGCUUGGUAUUUCAAUCCACCCAGAACUAAUGUAUGUGUCAUGAGCCUGUAAAUAGCUUCGCAAGGUGUACUUUGCUUAUGGUGCUUAUAAAAUAUAGAAAGUAAUAUGUUAGAUAGCAUAGGAAAACUGAAAUUCCUCCCAUGGAUAACAUCCAACUAUUUUAUUUUUGCAAUUGAUAUUGAUUUUGAACUCUGAAUUUGAAAUCUACAUGUUUACAUCUUUGCCCACAUGGCUUUUUGUAGUCUUGCAUGUCUGCUGGUUCAUGUUGUCCUCAUAGAGGGUUUGCUUUCAAGCCGACUUCAGUUAUGAGAAAAUGGCAGCUUAUCUGGAGUUAAUAGGAUGACAGUUCUGUUUAAUACUUUAAUGUACAGACCCUGUUUUUUUCUCUCGCUUCCACAUGUCAACUAAUAGUUGUCAUACUUAUGCGGUAAUAUUAAGUGGAUCACUAUUUAUGCUUUUAACAGGAUUGGUAGCCCUGGACACUGCUGUAUACUGUUCGCCCUGUUUUUUGAUACCAAAACUGUUACUUAUUCCAUCAUUGUAGAUUUUUGUUCUUUGUACAUGUCCUAAAACUGUAGUGGAAUUUUGUUAAAAUGGGUUUGGCUUGGUUUCAUUAUAUGAAGCACUAACUCGUGAGAUUUUACUCAAAUAUUCUUUGGCUCUGCAGUUCUUUCUAUGAAGCAUGUCACAUUGUCUGCAAGCUCACGAGGUACAUCUCCUCCUACUUCAUCUAAGGUUGUUAGGUUGUACUCCCUGCUCCUUAUUUACUCAUUUGUUGACUAUUUAUCUCCCGGACCUUCACUGUCAAUAUUGAGGCUGCAUGCAACAGUGGCAUAGAUGUGCCUUCGACUUCUUGCGCAAAAGUUGGUCAUAUAUUUCUAAAGUUUUGGGUAACUCAUAUUUUCUCACAUUCAACCUGUUGAAUCAAAUGAGAGUAGCCUGCAUGUAUAGUUCUUAGUCUUUCUAAAAUUAUCCAAUUCUCUAAUGGGGCCCUAAUAACUAGGUUGUUUUCAGAGAUAUGUACAGUGGGACCGGUGUCGGUUGGUGUCAGCUGAAACACAUGAUUAUUCACAUUAUUUUUAGCAGCUCUUAUAGUGGUACUUGCGGAUUAAUAUGGUCGGUCAUCAUA